UAGGGAAUCUUCGGCAAUGGGGGCAACCCUGACCGAGCAACGCCGCGUGAGUGAAGAAGGUUUUCGGAUCGUAAAGCUCUGUUGUAAGAGAAGAACGUGUGUGAGAGUGGAAAGUUCACACAGUGACGGUAACUUACCAGAAAGGGACGGCUAACUACGUGCCAGCAGCCGCGGUAAUACGUAGGUCCCGAGCGUUGUCCGGAUUUAUUGGGCGUAAAGCGAGCGCAGGCGGUUUAAUAAGUCUGAAGUUAAAGGCAGUGGCUUAACCAUUGUUCGCUUUGGAAACUGUUAAGCUUGAGUGCAGAAGGGGAGAAUGGAAUUCCAUGUGUAGCGGUGAAAUGCGUAGAUAUAUGGAGGAACACCGGUGGCGAAAGCGGCUCUCUGGUAUGUAACUGACGCUGAGGCUCGAAAGCGUGGGGAGCAAACAGG
rnacentral:rRNA from 1 species